UAUGAAAUGAAGGUGUUUUUUUUUUUUGUCAUUGAAUGAGAUUUAUAUACUUCAUAGUGUUAUGUGCAAAUAUCGUUUUUCCUUUUUUUUUCUAGAUUGAUGUUAUAAGCAGUUUCAGUUCAUGACCAAAAUAAAAUUAGAAGAUAAAAUCUGAUUACUACUUCUGCUUAAGUGGAAUAACUACAAAGCCAGACAGUAAAAGAUCCAGUGCUAAUUAUAUAGAAUAGUUAUAUUUAACAAGUAUUACUUAAAUGAAUGACUUUCUCUUUUUGUUCAUGCUGUCCAAUUGUGAAGCAGUUUUUAAAAAUAAUCAGCAUACGUGAAAUACAAAAGUUGCUGUAACUGUUGAAUGUUUAUUACCUCAGAUUUCAAUAUCUGUGGUUGAUUGUAUGGAACUUGAGAAAAGUUACAGAACCAUAUUUGCAUUUUUGUGUUGAAAUCUCAAUUUUUUUAUUUGACAAAGAGGUAAUGUAAGAAUUUCUUUUGUUGUUACAAAAUGAAAUGGCUCAGAACAUUUAGAAAUAUAACUUUUAUAUCAAGAGUUUAUGGCACAUCCACUGAAAUUCAGUUCAAAAAUCCUUGUGAUGAACUUCAGCACUACUUGCAAGUGCCAUUGUUUACCCAGAAUGAAAAAUCUUUUAGUCCAAGUUUGAUAGAAAUGAAGGCAGCUCAAAAGCUAUUUAUUCCAAGUCCAAGACAUGAAAUCAAGUUUUUGGUAUCAGCUAUUGAUCAAGAUAGAAUGCCUAAGCACGAUCUUCCAGAGGUGACAUUCAUUGGCCGUAGCAAUGUUGGAAAAUCAUCUUUGCUGAAAGCAAUAUUUGCCCAGGUUCCACAUGUUAAAGUGAGAGUUUCUCAUACACCAGGUCACACUAAGACAGUAAAUUUCUAUCAAGUUGGACGAUCCAUGUGUUUAGUAGACAUGCCAGGGUAUGGAUAUAAACAACCAGAACAUUUUGUCCAGUCAGUGGAAGGCUACAUACAUAAUCGACCUAAUUUAAAGCGAACUUUUCUCAUGAUUGAUGGAAAAGCUGGAUUUAGACAGUGGGAUGCAGUUGCUGUGGAGAUGUUAGAAGAAUACAGGGUUCCCUAUGGGCUCAUAAUGACAAAAAUUGAUAAGGCAUCUCAUUCUAUGCAACUCAGGAACCUAGUGGCUCUCCAAGAAAUAAGAAAUAAAAAUAUGUCGAAUUGCUGCUUUCCCCAGCCAUUUCUAGUCAGCUCCACUACAGGAGAAGGUAUUGGUUACCUUCAAGCAUUCCUAGCCCACAUUACGGGGAGUAUGAAUUUCAGUGGAGUAUGACCCUAGUUCGAUGGAAUUCUAGGAAAAUAUUAGAAAAUAAUGAAUAAUUCUUGCACUGUUGAUGGUGAUGAGUGAGACGAAGGACAGCACCUUUACUGGAGGUUUUAAAGAAUCUGUACCAGAGAGAGAAAACACACUACAUAUAUGCACAACCAACGUCACUGUUGGUCAUUCUCAAAUGUAUCACCUAACCCAUCUGUAUAAAAUUUUGUCCUAUACUUUGAUAUAAUAUGUUCAAUUUCAAAGAUUGAGAAAAGUACUCUUAAUAUGCUAGGUGAAUGACCCAUUUCAGUAGGUAACUAAGGUGAAAUUCACUUAACUACUUCUUUAAUCAACGUUCUGUAUUAAAACUAAAUAUAAUUGUAUGCAUAAAAAAUGUAGAAAACUUUUCUGUUAAAAUAAGUGGGUAGAAAGCACGUAGCAUGCCUGUCUACUACAGUUCUAGUCGGUUUUUCAAGUCAUUCGAAAAUUUACAUAAGCAGCAGUUUGUAGACUUGACAACUCUGUAGUUGAACAAGCCUUUUUUUAGAUACUGUCACUUCUAUGUUGGUCAGCAUCCCUCUUUUUUUUUGAAAUUUACAGGACUUAUCUAGCUAUGUAUGUGUAAAAAAAAUUUGUUUAUGCAUAAUUUCCAUCAAGCUUGUGUGGGUUUAGUGUAAGCUACAUAUUUAUUUCUGUAGCAUUUUCUAAUGUCAAAAUCAGACUUGCAUCACAUUUUACCAGCUUUUUAAUACUACACGAUUGCAUAGAUUUUUUAUAAGUAUACCAACAAUUCUGUGUUUAUCGAAAUAUAUCUUUAACAUUUUGAAUGUAUGGCCUUACUGUUUAUCAAAACUGACAUUUUUCAUUUUCUGGUCUUUUAAAAUAUGUAAGAAUGUCAUUUUUUUAUAUAUGAAGAAUUAUUGAUAAACCUAUUUCUCAACAUUAGGUACUUAAAGCAUGUUAUAGCAAAAUUUAUAUUUAAUGGGUAUAGAAUUUUUUCUAAAGUUAGGGGUGAAUCAAUGUAAGUUUGGUAAAUAUCUCAGAUUAAACAUAUAGCACCUCCUGAUAGACGAAACUCAGAAAUAUAACUCAUUAUAUACUUUCACAGAUCUAAAAUAUUUUAAACUUUUGCAAUCUCACGAUCUUUUAGUGGCGUAAAACAUUUUGCAUAGCAAGAAAAUAAAAUAAUGUACCACAAAUAGAAACAGUCAGUCUCGAGUUGCCCCCCAGUGGCACAGCAGUAUGUCUGCGGACAUACAACACUUGAAACCGGGUUUCGAUACCCGUGGUGGGCAGAGCACAGAUAGCCCUUGUGUAGCUUUGUGCAUAAUUAAAAACAAACAAACAAUCUCGAGUUAAUAGUGUUCAAUCAAACUGUGUAUUUCAAGACCAAAGGCUAUAAAUGGGAAAAUAAUCAAAAUAUCAUAUUUUUGAGUAAUUUUUAACUGUAGAAAACUAUACAACAGCUUGCAUCACGACUACAUUUGUUGUUGUUACUUUUAAAUGCAAAUAUUACUUUAAAAACACUUGAACAUAGUGCUAGUUGUUGUUGUAUUUGUUUGUAUGACAGCAGAGAGGUAAAUAGAGACAUAAUAACAACAAUGAUUUAUUUUGACGUUUUCUGCACAUUGGUAAUUUUUAUAGCAAGAAAUAGUUUCAAAUCAAGCACGGGAGAAUCGUUUAACAAGCCAAGGGGUGGGCACAAGGCUAAGAAAAUUACUGUUUAUUUGGGGCGUCACAGGAAAUGGCUAAAAUACAUACUUGCAGUUUCAAACGUUCUUUAGGAGUCAUUAUCCGUUACAUAGGCUUGCUGGCUAAGCAUGGACAGUGGUUAGCAAGCCGCAUGCGGAUCAGAAAGAUCCAACUGAAAUAUAUUGAUAAGUUUCAGUUGUGAGAAUGUUAUAAUCGUGACAGUUUAUCAGUUUUCGUAUGGUAGUGCGAGUUGUUGAAAAGUGCCUUAUCUAGUGCUAGCAGGUUAAAUCUUAAGCUCGAUUGGUGGAAAACUCGCCUACGAGCGGACAUGGGUUUAAAAUCUUUUAAGAAACAGAAAUUCAAGCUUCCACAGUCGUUUACCCCAUGUUUCUCAUAAGAUGUUCACGCUAUGAAAUACCAUCAGGCUUACGCCUUUGGUUUUAACAAAUGUGGAAAUAUAAACGAAAAUGUAUGCAAAGGAUCAAUUAUAACGUCGCAUUUUAAUGCAUGCUUCGAUUAAUUUAAGAAAUAAUCUACUUUUAGAUUAAAAAAAAUAGUUUUCUACGUGUUAGAUAGUCGAGUCGAUGGAUUUUUAAAAGGAAGUACAGCUACAUGCCAUUAUUUACUUCAGAACAAUAAGGAUAUUUCAAAAACAUAUGAUAAAACCUGGUGGAAAAUUGUGGGGAACAACAUAAAAGUUUCCAUGGGAUAAGAAGAUAUGAGAAAGCAAAAUUAUCUUAAUCAGUUUUCGCACAUUAUACGAUUUGUAUUUUUAAAUUACUUUUAUAUUCAAUAGAUAGCGCCACAACAGGGAACCUGCAGUUGUAGCUUUACCCGAAUAAUUCAGUCGUUAUAUUCAGCUUCGCGAUAGAGAGGGCGCUGAAUUAUUAGAGUUAGUUGUAGCUAGGCAAACGUAUGUUAAAAAAAUACUACUUACCUCGAAAGUAAUAUGAUCUAUUGAUUAUUUGUUUGUUUUAGCGCAAAGCCACACAUUUCUGUGCUGUGUCCACCUCGGAGAAAGGAACCCCCAAAUUUUAGCGUUGUAAGUCCGUAACUUUUUCACUGACACACCGGCGGACGAUCGUAUAAUUAAUUAUAAGUCAUAGAUGUUAUUUAUGGUUCUUAGUAUAUAUAUUUUUCAAGCUAUGUUUUCCCGUCAAAUAUGAUAUGCGUUAAUCAUAUUUAUCUACUAUUACGGAUUUAUUAUUACAUAUUUCUUUUAAUAUCAACGUUUGUUUAGAUUAAGCUUGUAUUUAGAAAUAUGCAUAGCUUGUAAUGUAUUGCGAAUCUCCCGCCUAUUCCCUAAAGUUGUAGAAGAUUCUCGAGUGUAAGAAUCAACAAUAUAUGUAUGUAC